AACGAACGCUGGCGGCAGGCUUAACACAUGCAAGUCGAACGAGUGUAGCAAUACAUCAGUGGCAGACGGGUGAGUAACACGUGGGAACCUUCCUAGGGGUACGGAACAACUCAGGGAAACUUGAGCUAAUACCGUAUACGUCCGUGAGGAGAAAGAUUUAUCGCCCUUAGACGGGCCCGCGUCGGAUUAGCUAGUUGGUGGGGGAACGGCCUACCAAGGGCACGAUCCGUAGCUGAUCUUAGAGGAUGAUCAGCCACACUGGGACUGAGACACGGCCCAGACUCCUACGGGAGGCAGCAGUGGGGAAUCUUGGACUAUGGGCGCAAGCCUGAUCCAGCCAUGCCGCGUGAGUGAAGAAGGUCUUCGGAUUGUAAAGCUCUUUUGCCAGGUACGAUAAUGACGGUACCUGGAGAAUAAGCCCCGGCAAACUUCGUGCCAGCAGCCGCGGUAACAC
rnacentral:rRNA from 1 species